rnacentral:rRNA from 1 species
GGGCCCGCACAAGCGGUGGAGCAUGUGGUUUAAUUCGAUGAUACGCGAGGAACCUUACCAGGGCUUAAAUGUAGUCUGACAGGGGUGGAAACACCCCCUCCUUCGGGCAGAUUACAAGGUGCUGCAUGGUUGUCGUCAGCUCGUGCCGUGAGGUGUCAGGUUAAGUCCUAUAACGAGCGCAACCCCUGCCGUUAGUUGCCAGCAUGUAAUGAUGGGAACUCUAACGGGACUGCCGGUGCAAACCGCGAGGAAGGUGGGGAUGACGUCAAAUCAUCACGGCCCUUACGUCCUGGGCUACACACGUGCUACAAUGGCCGGUACAGAGGGCAGCCACACCGCAAGGUGGAGCGAAUCCUUAAAACCGGUCUCAGUUCGGAUCGCAGUCUGCAACUCGACUGCGUGAAGCUGGAAUCGCUAGUAAUCGGAUAUC